UAUUGGAAAUUUUUAGCCUGAUGUAAAAAUGAGUCAUUAUGAAUGAAAAGGGGGGGGGGACCCUCUAGCUGUAUAUACUAUUUUCCCUCAGUCCUGAAGCUUUCCAGUGCUGCUUGUUCAGUAAAUUUGUCUUUCCCUUGUUCUACCGCAGUUCUUCUGGGGGAGGGGUCUGCUACACUGAUUCUCAGGUGUCUCUGCCUGGGUGGAGAUGCCCCACCCUCCCCACCUGGUGCCGGGCUCAGUGUGAGUUGUUUAUCCUGCAAAGUCUUUGUUCCCUAGUAGCCCCACCUCUCCCAGGCACAGGAUGAAACAAAGAGGAAAAAAAUGGUAGUGGGCAGAUUUCCAGCUCUGGAGUCAUCUCUCUGUGAGUAGCUAACUGCAGUUUCCAGUCUGCACUGGCCUAGAUGCUCCUGGGGCCUGCCUCUCCCAAAAGAAACAGAGGAUAGCCACCUCUGUCCUUUGCCAGGAUCUAGGGUAAAGGGAACUCUGGGGCCGACCUGCAUAACUGACUGGCUUCUCCCAAAUGCCCCAAGCGCUGUGGUGCCCCAGCCCUUUACUGAGAUUGGUCCACAGUUUGCGAUGAGAUUUCUCUCAUGCACCCCAGUCUUAUAGUAACUCUGGGAAUCUUGAAGCUUCACUGCCCUUCCUGUGAUUCUGCCCAAUUUCCCUGAAAACUCAGGCAUGGAUUUUUAAAGUUCUCCCUUGUCCAGGGCUGGGCUAUUGUGUCCUUGAGGCUUUCGCUGCUCUGCUUUAGUCCUCCUAGUUGCUGUUCGCCUCCCCCACUUUAUUUCUUUUUUUAUUUUUUUCGCCUUCUUACCUUGUUAGAAGUGAAAACUUUUCUCUCUGUAGCAUUAUAGCUGUUUUCUCUUUAAAUUUCAGGUUGAAUUCAUAGGUGUUCAGAAAGUUUUUAAAGUUAUCUAAGUGGAAGGGAGGUCAUCCAGAACACACUCUGGUGCAUGCUGGAGAGUCCUCUGAUGUGUGAGAUGAGAGUUCCUUGUAUUUCAAGAGGCAAUCGGGAGAUUCAGCCAGCACUCCACUCCCAAGGCCAAGGGAAUCUUUGAAAAUAUCAGCCUGAAAGAUUCUGGCAAUGAUUUACAUGUCAGUGAUUGCUACAUCCUAUGUUCGCUACAUGUUCAAACAUGAGAUGGCCAGCUUUUAUAUAACUAUGAUCUUUAUAGUAUUAAACAUAAAACAUG